rnacentral:rRNA from 1 species
AAGUCGAGCGGAUCGAAUGGAAGCUUGCUUCCGUUCGGUUAGCGGCGGACGGGUGAGUAACACGUGGGCAACCUGCCCGUAAGACCGGGAUAACUUCGGGAAACCGGAGCUAAUACCGGAUAAUACCGAAGACCCCAUGGUCUUUGGUUGAAAGACGGCUUUGGCUGUCACUUACGGAUGGGCCCGCGGCGCAUUAGCUAGUUGGUGAGGUAACGGCUCACCAAGGCGACGAUGCGUAGCCGACCUGAGAGGGUGAUCGGCCACACUGGGACUGAGACACGGCCCAGGCUCCUACGGGAGGCAGCAGUAGGGAAUCCUCCGCAAUGGACGAAAGUCUGACGGAGCAACGCCGCGUGAGCGAAGAAGGUCUUCGGAUUGUAAAGCUCUGUUGUUAGGGAAGAACAAGUACCGUUCGAAUAGGGCGGUACCGUGACGGUACCUAACGAGAAAGCCACGGCUAACUACGUGCCAGCAGCCGCGGUAAUACGUAGGUGGCAAGCGUUGUCCGGAAUUAUUGGGCGUAAAGCGCGCGCAGGCGGUCCUUUAAGUCUGAUGUGAAAGCCCACGGCUCAACCGUGGAGGGUCAUUGGAAACUGGGGGACUUGAGUGCAGAAGA